CUCCUUUGCUGCAACUUGUAAUUGGUAUUGACAAACUUCAAAUGAAAGUGUCUUUGCUCCUUUGCUGCUUCUACUUCUUUUUCUCCUUCUUGUACACCGGCUUCCAAAAAUGAUUGUCGAACUGUAACAUAUCAACCUCUGUAAUUUUUAUAUUGUUGGCAUAGCAAAUAAUAAAAUUCAAUCACCAUUAAUUGGUUAAUAAAACAAGAAAGUACAAUACGAACGAAUCUUUCUUUAUUGUACUUCCAUCCGCUAAACUUGGUAGAAAUGAUGGCUUGCAAGAGCAAUUUAUAGCAGUAAUUAUCACAAAUAACAUCUAGAAGACCGUAACAACAAAAUAUAAUUGAACAAAAAUGAUUUUUCCUAAAAUGCACUGGAAAACAAUUCAUAUCUAGUUUUAAAGGUAGAACUGUGCAUGUUCAAACUUCAUAUUCAUCUAUGUCUGAAGUUGUAACUUCACCCCAAUUUUUCAACUCUAAUGUGUGAACACACACACAUGUAUGUAUAUGAAUAUAUAUAUAUAUAUGUGUGUGUGUGUGUGUGUGUGUGUGGUGUUGUUGAUUGUAUGUACUAUGUAGGUAUAUAUAUAUGUGUGUGUGUGGUGUUGUUGGGUGUAUGUACUAUGUAGGUAUAUAUAUGUAUGGGUGUGUGUGGUGUUGUUGGUUGUAUGUACUAUGUAGGUAUAUAUAUGUGUGUGUGUGUGGUGUUGUUGGGUGUAUGUACUAUGUAGGUAUAUAUAUGUAUGGGUGUGUGUGGUGUUGUUGGUUGUAUGUACUAUGUAGGUAUAUAUAUGUAUGGGUGUGUGUGGUGUUGUUGGUUGUAAUAUAACAUAAGUAUCUAUUAUGUAAAAGGAUAAAAAAACACAGGUUUAAUACUAAAUAUGCUUCGUAAAGUAUCACAAUGAACAACAUUAGAAUUCAUUUCAUUGAAUGAUCAAAGUUAAAUAUGCCUUUAAACUUUGUGAGAGGAAUUACCGAUAAGAAGCUAAAUUUACAUAGGAAUAUAUAAUCUCGGAAUUCAAGUAUGGAAUUUUUGGCCCAUGAUUUUCUCUUUACUUGUUUUUUCCACAGUUGAACCGAAAAUACACUUGUCCAUAAAUUUUCUUGCAAAUAAAAGUACGUUCUUUUAUUUUAAAAUACUCACAAUUUAUAUGUUCAAACGCCCUAAAUUCCUGAAGUCUUUUGGAAAAACAAUUUUAAAUAUACUAAAAACAGCAUCUUCUAGCGGGAGGAGGGAUCAAUUGAAAAAUCACCAUUACCGCGUUAUAUAAAACUAAAUACUUAAGCAGGAGUAGCUUCCUAGGAAGCUUCAUCGCAACCUUUUUCUUUCCUAUUUAUAUGUCAAAAAAAUCAGUUACCAUCAUCAUAUCUUAUUCUGUCUGAUUCUUUAAGUGUCAGGAUCAUAGUGAUCUUUCCUAGUAUUUUAUAAUAAAUCCAGAAAAAAAAAAAUAGUGUGCACGUACGGCGAUAGUGCUGAUCAAAGGCAAGGAUGAUGGAGGUGGAUCAUGAAGAUAAUGGAUCAGACAUUGAAGCUCAGCGGAGUUCCCCGCAGUUAAUGAAUGGUGAAUUGGGUAAAUCUAGUUUGAUCAUGAGGAAGUCGGCCAUCAUUUUCCAAUCUACUUACAAGUUCAUUGAAGCUGGAGCAAAAAUAGCGUCUCUUUCACGAGUCUCAUCGUCUUCCUCAUCUUCCAGCACAACCUUUUAUACUCCUCUUCCCAGCUUUAAACAUGGAGUAUGUAUAUAUAAUUUAAAAACAUAUAUAUGUAUAUAGUUUAAGUUAUAUUGAUGAUAUUAAUUAUAUAUAUAUGCUCUAUGUCUAAUCAGGAUGCGGAAGGUGGUGGAGGUGAAAUCCAGGUUGUUGAAAUUGUGGCUGAUGAUAAUACUGUACAAUCAAACAAUGAGAUUGAGCUUCAGCCUGAUGAUCAGAGUACUCAUCAGCAAUGCUUAAAAAUUAGUGAAGAGAUUGUGAAGGAGAAAAAGUUGGAUUGGAGUGAUGCUCAUGAUGUUGACAAGGGAAUUCAUGUUGCAGACAAUUCUGGUCGUUACAUGCUGAUCUAUGCCCAGUUCAUGAUCCGACAACUGAUAUGUAAGGAACCAACUAUUUUGCUCCUUGCAAUUGCUGCAAUAUUGUCGUUUAUCUUUGGAAUCAAAGAAGAAGGUGUGCAUAAUGGUUGGUUUGAAGGAGCACUUCUGGUUGUGAUUAUAUUUGUGAUUGUUUCGUUUAAGCUAGCACGUAAUUGGUACAAAAGACACAUUUGGAAUAAGCAAAAUGAGAACAGAGCAAGGAAGGACCAGCCGUUUAUUUCUGAAACGGACUCCAGUUUUUGUGCCGACUUUGACAAGUUGAACAAUUACAUACAUAUUAGUGGGCUGUCCAUUGGCAUUUUGAUCACUGUGGUGCUGUUCAUUCGCUUUAAAUUGGGCUAUAAAGAUGAUGAGAACGGAUAUAGAUUGGAAACCAAGGAAGAACCAACUGAAAUUGCACGGAUAAUGAAUGCCGUGAAGAAGGUUUUGACAGAAUCAAAGGGAGCAGUGAGAGUUAUGAUAACUUCUCUUGGUAUCACACUGGUGGGGAUUACUGAAGGAGUACCAUUUCUUAUUUCAAUUGCAAGGGCAUACUGGUAUCCAAUUUUUGAUGUUAAGAUGGAACCAGUCAACACCAUCUGUAUAGAAAAAAUUAGAUGGUUGAAAGUUACCCAGUUUCUUCUUGACAAAAAAGAUGUUACCAAGAUGUUAGCUGGUGGAAAGAGUUGAAAGUUACCCAGUUUCUUCUUGACAAAAAAGAUGUUACCAAGAUACCGCCACAUGUCUACAGUGUUCUCUCUGAUGGAAUUGGUGUGUCCCCUCUGACUUCUCAAACAGCCUACCACAGAGUAGAAGAAGCAAUACUCUGUUGGGCAGAAAAGAACACGGGUAUGCAGAGAGACACUUUGGAUAAGCAGUUCACCAUAGUGAAGAACAACGAUGAUGAGAUGAAUCCUUUUGAAGGACCUUGUAAAGUAGUCAUAGAGAAAAAUGGAGAUAAUGGGAAAGAGUACUAUUCAUAUUUCAAGGGUCCUACUGAUUCAAUAUUGCCAAUGUGUUCAAGUUACUAUGACUUGACGGGUCAAGUGCAGGAUUUGGAUGACGAAACAAAGAGUGACAUUGUUCAAACUAACAACAACAACAACAUGAACGUAGUUGCAUUUGCCUUCAAACACAGUCAGGACGUUGUUGAACUUGAUGAAAAUGGCCUAACAUUCAUUGGUAUGUUUGUCUUAGAAUAUACUUUCAAUCUAGACAACACGAGGAAAGCAAUUGCGAUUCUGAAAGAAGGCGGAGUGAAGAUGAUAUUUGCCUCAGAAGAAGAUGUUGAAGUGCUUCGUACCAUUGUUGAUGAAACAGGAUUGCUCAACUCACAUGAAGCUCUAGUAGUUAGGGGUGAAGAUGCUACAAAGGAAAAUGUUGAUAAAAUGUGCAUUAUGGGAAAUUCCUCUCCCGCAUGCAUGCUUCUUUUAAUAGAGCAAUUGAAGAAAAGAGGAGAAGUUGUGGCUGUGGUAGGAGAACAAGCAUCUGAAAGUAAUGUGGUUCUUGAAGCAGCUCAUUUUGGCCUGCCUGUGGUGACUAACUGGCCUGAAACUAUAACUUAUGUGAUUAACAGCAUCAAGGGAGGAAGAAUUGUUGUGAGUAUAUGAGGCAGUUCAUCCAAGUUGAGAUAAUCUUUGCAAUCAGUAGCUUAUUAAUAAACUUCAUACUGGUUAUAUUAGACGGAGAUGGUCCGUUAACAGUCAUUCAGUUGGUAUGGGUUAACCUUCUUGUAAAAUUUAUUGGAGGGCCAGCUUUGCUAAUUACUCAGCAGGCCACAAGACAACUAAGGGAUGAGCUUUCUAUCAGACCAAGAAAACUGCCAAUUACCAAGUGCAUGUUGAGAAACAUACUUCUUCAAGUUUCUUAUCAGACUGGUAUUUUUGUAUUCCUUCAACACAGAGGAAGUGCAAUACUGGGGAUCACUCCAAAAGUUAACAGAUCUAUAGUCUUUAACGGGUUCGCUCUGUGCCAGCUUUUUAACAUAUUCAGUGCAAGGGAUUUGGAGCAGAGGAAUUAUUUCAAAGGUCUCGGUCAAAAUUACUUGUUUUGGGCAUUGUCUGGGCUCUAUCUUGUGUUGCAGUUUGGAUUCAUUGAAUUAGAGGCUUUCUUGUUUAGCAACACGGCACGACUGAAUUGGAAGCAAUGGGCUGAAUCCAUUUUAAUUGGAGUUGUUACAUGGUUGCUUGAUGUGAUAGUAAAAUGGGCAUCACAACACAUAAAGAUAGACACAUAUUGUGAUUGUGGAGUUCUUCACCUAGCUAGAAACUGGUUACAGUGUUGGUUUAUGAGGAUCAAUUGCUGUUACUGUGGACCAAGAAGUACACCAAAUCCAACUCUUGCUUCCUUGGAUUCUUCAAGAUACACUAGCGGAAAGGUAUUAUAAAAAUUUGUCCAUACAGCCUAAUUACAGUACAGUUCAAUCAACAGUCUUUCCUAAAAUUUUGGAUUCAAGUUGUAGUUGUUGUUCGUUUGCAGGGCUGGAUAACAAGUAUUACACGUCGUGUUAAACCAACCAAGCAUAGAGCUAAUACUUUGAUGGAUUAAUCAUAUGUUUCAGUAGCUUCAAUUUUUAGUACAUAGUUUCCUCUGUUUUCUAUAGAAGGUUAGAUAUAGUUGGAGCAACACUAAAGUUGUCUCAAUGUGACCGGUAGGUUAUGGGUUAGAGCAGUUAUGAAAUCAGCCUUUGAUGCUUGUAUGAGGGUAGGUUGCCUACAUCACACCCUUCAAGGGUCUCAGGCCUACGUCAAUGAGGGAUGAUUAGUGCACUAGGCUAUCCUUUUUAGUUAAUUUAUGUUAAUUAAUUUCAUCAAGUUUUUCGGUUCUUGUUCUUGUUCCUCUUCACUUUUAACUAAAUUCAAGAAUGUAAACUUAUUAUAUAGUACUACUCCCUCAAUCCCUUUGUAUGUCACAUUUUUAAUUUUUUACUUUGUAUUUGUAUUAAAAAAUGAAGUAACUUUAUCCUUAUUUAAUGUUUUCUUAAAUCAACUCUAUAAUAAAUGAUGAAUACAUUUUCAAGAUUAAUUAACUAUUCCAUCAAGGGUAUAAUAGGAAAAAUAUGAUAAAUUUAUGCAUAAAUUUUAUAAAAUGACAAGUAUUGUGGUCCAGCUAUUUAUAGAAAGGAAUGUCAUAUAAAAAUGGACGGAGGGAGUAAUAUACGUAGAAAGCAAGAAUUUUAUGAAUUUCAAACACAGCGAAGUUUGCUCAAAAUCAUAAAGCAAACUAGUGAGUACACAUUCUACUAAUUAAUUGGCUUGUUCAAGAAGAUAAAUAUUUCCAAUAUCAUAUAGUAUAUGCAAAAAUAUAACUUAAUUACCUCGAUCUUGUUUUUCUCAAACUUGGUGAAAUGUAAUAGACAAAGCUCUUGUUGAGGAGAAACUGACAAGCCGGGAAUGCCAUUGGAAGAGACUUUUCUUCAGCGAAGUCAACUGCCUGUGGUCGUUUCUUUACUAUAUAAAAAAUAAAAAACAAACCUCACAAAUAUCCUAACAUGGAUUUUAUAAGAAUAUUUUUCUUUAAUUUUGGACACAUUUGUCUUUUAUCAAACGUGUCUUCAAUAAAUAUUCAUGUGUGAGUAGGUAAUGUAGAAAUGUUACUUUAUCUAUUUCAAUUUAUGUUACUAAAAACUUUUUAGUUAGUUCUGAAAAUAAUAAUAGUUACUUUUUUUAUAGAUAUUUUGAAAUAAUUUAACUUCUAAAUUUUUUUUUUAAAAAAGAGAGAGAAUAAUUUAUAAUCAUAGAAAUAUGUAUGAUUAACUUUAAAAGUCAUUUGAAAUUCAUUUGUGAGUAGAUAAUCUUGAAAAGGUUACCAUAAGGAAUUUGUUACUCCAUCUAUUACAAUUUAUUAAUGUUACAAUUUUUUUAAGCUAGACCUGAAAAUAAUAAUAGUAUUGAUACAAAAAUUUAAGUUGAAUGAUUUUAUAGAUAUAAAAGCUUAAUUGAGUGGGUUUUUUGAUACAAAAUAAAGUUCAAUGAUUUUGCUAGACAAAUUCUUGAAGUUGAGUGAACUUUUGAGAUAUUAACUCUAGAAAACAUGUGACUACUCGUGUACAUUCAAAAUUAAUGGACAUAAAUAAGAACUAGAGCCAAGUUAAAGGAUACACUUAUAUAUUAUAUCAUUUGAUAAAAGUAAUUUUUAUUUCCGAAGUGAAAAAUAAUAUAUAAUUUUUUUUAUUUUAUUAAUUUAUAAAGUCUUCUCGAAAACAUUUUCUAACAUACCAAAAAGCAGCAUCUUCUAUAACAAAUUUUUUGUGUGUGUGUGGUGAUGGUGAGAUCAAUUUAAAAAUUGUCAAUAUUAACGCGUUAUAAAAAUUAAAGAGUGUAAGGGAAAAUUUGAAUUUGAACAAGAUGGGUGUUCACAUUCCGCAACACAAAGCUGAGGCCGGGAGUGAAUAACUAACCACUUGAGCAUUGGAGUACUGCAUGUCUAUUUGAACGGGUCACGAUUUAAUUCAUUUUCAAUUUCAGUAGUGCUGAUCAAAGCUAGGAUGAUGGAUGAAGAUAAUGGAUCAGACAUUGAAGCUCAGGGGAGUUCCCCGCUGCUAAUGAAUGGUAAUUCUACGUUGAUCAUGAGGAGGUUGGCUCUCAUUCUCCGAUCUACUUACAACUUCCAUUGAAGCUGGAGCAAGAAUACCAUCUCUUUCACGAGUCUCAUCGUCUACCUUAUCCUCCACCACAACCUUUUAUACUCCUCUUCCCUAAGUAUAUAAACAAAUGUCUUUAUCACUACUAUAUAUAUACACACACGUAGUUGUUAAUUAUACAUGCUCUCCGUCUAAUUAGGAUGCAGAAGGUGGUGAAGAUGAAAUCCAGGUUGUUGAAAUUGUGGCUGAUGAUAAUACUGUACAAUCAAACAAUGAUCACGUCGACAUUGAUCAAAGUACUCAUCAGCAAUGCCUACAAAUUAGUGAUUGUUUUGUUUAAGUUUGCACGAAAUAGGUACAAAAGACACCUUUGGAAGAAGCAAAAAGAUAACAAAGAAACGAAGAAUUACCCCCUGUUGAUUUCUGAAACGGACUCCAGCUUUUGUGCCUGUUUUGACAAGUUGAACAAUUAUAUACAUAUUAGUGGGUUGUUGAUUGGCAUUUUGAUCACUGUGGUGCUGUUCAUUCGCUUUAAAAUUGAGCCAUAAAGAUGACGAAAAUGGAUAUAGAUUAGAAACCAAGGAAGAACCAGCUGAAAUUGCACAGAAUAAUGAAUGCCGUGAAAAAGGUUUUAACAGAAUCAAAGGGAACAGUAAGAGUUUUGAUAACUUUACUUGGUGUCACACUGGUAGGGAUGACUGAAGGGGUACCAUUUCUUAUUUCAAUUACAAUGGCAUAUUGGUAUCCGAAUUUUGAUGUUAAAAUGGAAUCAGUCAGCACCCUCUGUAUAGAAAAUGUUGGCUGGUUGAAAGAGCAAAAACUGGAAGUUAGUCAGUUUUUCCUUGACAAAAUAAAUGUUACCAAGAUACCGCCAGAUGUCUGCAGUGUUCUCUCUGAUGGAAUUUGUGUGUCCACUCUGACUUCUCAAACAACUGACCAAAGAAUGGAAGAACCAAUACUCUGUUGGGCAGAGAAGAACAUGGGUAUGCAGAGAGACACUUUAGAUCAGCAGUUCAUAAUAGUGAAGGACAAUGAUAGUGAGAUGAAUCCUUUUGAAGGACCUUGUGGAGUUGUCAUAGAGAAAAAUGGAGAUAACGGGAAGGAGUACUAUUCACACUUCAAAGGACGGGCUGAUUCAAUAUUGUCAAUGUGUUCAAGUUACUAUGACAUGAAGGGAGAAGUGCAGGAUUUGGAUGAUGGAACAAAGAGUGACAUUGCUCAAACUAACAACAAGAACAAGAACGUAGUUGCAUUUGCCUUCAAACACACUCAGGACGUUGGUGAACUUGAUGAAAAUGGCCUAACAUUCAUUGGUAUGUUUGUCUUAGAAGAUAAUUUCAAUCUAGACAACAUGAGGCAAGGAAUUGAGAUUCUGAAAGAAGGUGGAGUGAAGAUGAUAUUUGCCUCGGAAGAAGAUGUUGAAGUGCUUCGUGCCAUUGGUGAUGAAACAGGAUUGCUCAACUCACAUAAUGCUCUAGUAGUUAAGCAUGAAGAUGCUACGAAGGAAAAUGUUGAGAAAAUUUGCAUUACGGGAAAUUCCUCUCCCGCACACAAGCUUCUUUUAAUAGAGCAGUUGAAGAAAAGAGGAGAAGUGGUGGCUGUGGUAGGAGAACAAGCAUUUGGAAGUAAUGUGGUUCUUGAAGCAGCUAAUUUUGGCCUGCCUGUGGUGACUAACUGGCCUGAAACUAUAACUUGUGUGAUUAACAGCAUCAAGGGAGGAAGAAUUGUUUGUGAGUAUAUGAGGCAGUUCAUUCAAGUUGAGAUAAUCUUUGCAAUCAGUAGCAUAUUAAUAAACUUCAUACUGGUUAUACUAGACGGAGAUGGCCCGUUAACAGUCAUUCAGUUGGUAUGGGUUAACCUUCUUGUAAAAUUUAUUGGAGGGCCAGCUUUGCUAAUUACUCAUCAGGCCAUAAGACAACUAAGGGAUGAGCUUUCUAUCAGACCAAGAAAACUACCAAUUACCAAGGGCAUGUUGAGAAACAUAAUUUUUCAAGCUUCUUAUCAGACUGUUAUUUUUGUAUGCCUUCCACACAGAGGAAGUGCAAUACUGGGAAUCACUGCGAAAGUUAACAUAUCUACUGUCUUUAACGGGUUUGCUCUGUGCCAGCUUUUUAACAUAUUCAGUGCAAGAGAUUUGGAGCAGAAGAAUUUUUUCAAAGGUCUUGGUUAAAAUUACUUGUUUUGGGCAUUGUCUUUGCUCUAUCUUGUGUUGCAGUUUGGAUUCAUUGAAUUAGAGGCUUUCUUGUUUAGCAACACGGCACGAUUGAAUUGGAAGCAAUGGGCUGAAUCCAUUUUAAUUGGAGCUGUUACAUGGUUGCUUGAUGUGAUAGUAAAAUGGGCAUCACAAUACAUAAAGAUAGACACAUAUUGUGAUUGUGGAGUUCUUCACCUAGCUAGAAACUGGUUCCAGUAUUGGUUUAUGAGGAUCAAUUGCUGUUACUGUGGACCAAGAAGUACACCAAAUCCAACUCUUGCUUCCUUGGAUUCUUCAAGAUCCACUAGCGGAAACGUAUUAUAAAAAUUUGUCCAUACAGCCUAAUUAUAGUACAGUUCAAACAAAAGUUUUUCCUAAAAUUUUGGAUUCAAGUUGUAGCUGUUGUUCUUUUGCAGGGCUGGCUAACAAAUAUCACACGUCGUGUUAAACCAACCAAGCAUAGAGCUAAUACUUUGAUGGAUUAAUCAUAUGUUUCAGUAGCUUCAAUUUUGAGUACAUAUUUUCCACUGUUUUCUAUUAGAUACACUUGGACCAACAAUAAAGUUGUUUCCACGCGACUGGUAGGUUAUGAGUUAGAGAUGUACUGGAAUCAGCCUCUGAUGCUUGUAUCAGGUAGGAUGCCUACAUCAUACCCUUCAAAGGCAUUGACCCUUCCCGGACCUACGUCAAUGAGGGAUGAUUAGUGCAGUAGGCUGUCCUUUUUAGUUAAUUUAUGUGAAUUAAUUUCAUCAAGUUUUUUGGUUCUUGUUCUUGUUCUUCUUUUUACUUUUAAUUUAAAUUCAAGAAUGCAAACUUAUUACUAUAUAGUACUAAUAUACAUAGAAAGCAAGAGUUUCAUGAAUUUCUAACACACAGAAGUUUGCUCAAAAUCAUAAAGCAAACUAGUGAGUACACAUUCUACUAAUUGGCUCGUACAAGAAGAUAAAUAUUUCCAAUAUCAUAAUUCAUAUAUAUGCAAAAAUAUAACUUAAUUACCUCGAUCUUAUUUUUCUCAAACUUGGUGUAAUGUAAUAGACAAAGCUCUUGUUGAGGAGAAAUUGACAAACCAGCAAUGCCAUUGGAAGAGAGUUUUCUUCAGCAAAGUCAACUGCCAGUGGUCGUUUCUUUA
rnacentral:lncRNA from 1 species